CUGAAUAUGGGGGGACCAUCCUCCAAGGCUAAAUACUCCUGACUGACCGAUAGUGAACCAGUACCGUGAGGGAAAGGCGAAAAGAACCCCGGCGAGGGGAGUGAAAAAGAACCUGAAACCGUGUACGUACAAGCAGUGGGAGCACGCUUAGGCGUGUGACUGCGUACCUUUUGUAUAAUGGGUCAGCGACUUAUAUUCUGUAGCAAGGUUAACCGAAUAGGGGAGCCGAAGGGAAACCGAGUCUUAACUGGGCGUUAAGUUGCAGGGUAUAGACCCGAAACCCGGUGAUCUAGCCAUGGGCAGGUUGAAGGUUGGGUAACACUAACUGGAGGACCGAACCGACUAAUGUUGAAAAAUUAGCGGAUGACUUGUGGCUGGGGGUGAAAGGCCAAUCAAACCGGGAGAUAGCUGGUUCUCCCCGAAAGCUAUUUAGGUAGCGCCUCGUGAAUUCAUCUCCGGGGGUAGAGCACUGUUUCGGCAAGGGGGUCAUCCCGACUUACCAACCCGAUGCAAACUGCGAAUACCGGAGAAUGUUAUCACGGGAGACACACGGCGGGUGCUAACGUCCGUCGUGAAGAGGGAAACAACCCAGACCGCCAGCUAAGGUCCCAAAGUCAUGGUUAAGUGGGAAACGAUGUGGGAAGGCCCAGACAGCCAGGAUGUUGGCUUAGAAGCAGCCAUCAUUUAAAGAAAGCGUAAUAGCUCACUGGUCGAGUCGGCCUGCGCGGAAGAUGUAACGGGGCUAAACCAUGCACCGAAGCUGCGGCAGCGACGCUGAUGCGUUGUUGGGUAGGGGAGCGUUCUGUAAGCCUGUGAAGGUGUGCUGUGAGGCAUGCUGGAGGUAUCAGAAGUGCGAAUGCUGACAUAAGUAACGAUAAAGCGGGUGAAAAGCCCGCUCGCCGGAAGACCAAGGGUUCCUGUCCAACGUUAAUCGGGGCAGGGUGAGUCGACCCCUAAGGCGAGGCCGAAAGGCGUAGUCGAUGGGAAACAGGUUAAUAUUCCUGUACUUGGUGUUACUGCGAAGGGGGGACGGAGAAGGCUAUGUUGGCCGGGCGACGGUUGUCCCGGUUUAAGCGUGUAGGCUGGUUUUCCAGGCAAAUCCGGAAAAUCAAGGCUGAGGCGUGAUGACGAGGCACUACGGUGCUGAAGCAACAAAUGCCCUGCUUCCAGGAAAAGCCUCUAAGCAUCAGGUAACAUCAAAUCGUACCCCAAACCGACACAGGUGGUCAGGUAGAGAAUACCAAGGCGCUUGAGAGAACUCGGGUGAAGGAACUAGGCAAAAUGGUGCCGUAACUUCGGGAGAAGGCACGCUGAUAUGUAGGUGAAGCGACUUGCUCGUGGAGCUGAAAUCAGUCGAAGAUACCAGCUGGCUGCAACUGUUUAUUAAAAACACAGCACUGUGCAAACACGAAAGUGGACGUAUACGGUGUGACGCCUGCCCGGUGCCGGAAGGUUAAUUGAUGGGGUCAGCGCAAGCGAAGCUCUUGAUCGAAGCCCCGGUAAACGGCGGCCGUAACUAUAACGGUCCUAAGGUAGCGAAAUUCCUUGUCGGGUAAGUUCCGACCUGCACGAAUGGCGUAAUGAUGGCCAGGCUGUCUCCACCCGAGACUCAGUGAAAUUGAACUCGCUGUGAAGAUGCAGUGUACCCGCGGCAAGACGGAAAGACCCCGUGAACCUUUACUAUAGCUUGACACUGAACAUUGAGCCUUGAUGUGUAGGAUAGGUGGGAGGCUUUGAAGUGUGGACGCCAGUCUGCAUGGAGCCGGCCUUGAAAUACCACCCUUUAAUGUUUGAUGUUCUAACGUUGACCCGU
rnacentral:rRNA from 1 species